rnacentral:rRNA from 1 species
UGGGGAAUAUUGCACAAUGGGCGCAAGCCUGAUGCAGCCAUGCCGCGUGUAUGAAGAAGGCCUUCGGGUUGUAAAGUACUUUCAGCGGGGAGGAAGGCGAUAAGGUUAAUAACCUUGUCGAUUGACGUUACCCGCAGAAGAAGCACCGGCUAACUCCGUGCCAGCAGCCGCGGUAAUACGGAGGGUGCAAGCGUUAAUCGGAAUUACUGGGCGUAAAGCGCACGCAGGCGGUCUGUCAAGUCUGAUGUGAAAUCCCCGGGCUCAACCUGGGAACUGCAUUCGAAACUGGCAGGCUAGAGUCUUGUAGAGGGGGGUAGAAUUCCAGGUGUAGCGGUGAAAUGCGUAGAGAUCUGGAGGAAUACCGGUGGCGAAGGCGGCCCCCUGGACAAAGACUGACGCUCAGGUGCGAAAGCGUGGGGAGCAAACA